rfam:Nematostella vectensis strain CH2 x CH6 NEMVEscaffold_32_Cont5598, whole genome shotgun sequence.
GCCUCUGUAGCUCAGUGGUUAGAGCACUGGUCUAGUGAACCAGUGGUCGAGAGUUCGAGUCUCUCCAGAGCCU